UAUUAUUACUUUGGCAGAUUAGUGUAAUGAAUUUAGAAUUCAUCAAUGUAAGUACUUUACAAGUAAUA
rnacentral:tRNA from 1 species